AUUGAACGCUGGCGGCAGGCCUAACACAUGCAAGUCGAACGGUAACAGGAAGAAGCUUGCUUCUUUGCUGACGAGUGGCGGACGGGUGAGUCAUGUCUGGGAAACUGCCUGAUGGAGGGGGAUAACUACUGGAAACGGUAGCUAAUACCGCAUAACGUCGCAAGACCAAAGAGGGGGACCUUCGGGCCUCUUGCCAUCGGCUGUGCCCAGAUGGGAUUAGCUAGUAGGUGGGGUAACGGCUCACCUAGGCAACGAUCCCUAGCUGGUCUGAGAGGUUGAUCGGCCACACUGGAACUGAGACACGGUCCAGACUCCUACGGGAGGCAGCAGUGGGGAAUAUUGCGCAAUGGGCGAAAGCCUGACGGAGCAACGCCGCGUGAGUGAUGAAGGUCUUCGGAUCGUAAAGCUCUGUCAGUAGGGAAGAACAAAUGUGUAAGAAACUAUGCACGUCUUGACGGUACCUAAUCAGAAAGCAACGGCUAACUCCGUG
rnacentral:rRNA from 1 species